rnacentral:rRNA from 1 species
AUUGAACGCUGGCGGCAGGCCUAACACAUGCAAGUCGAAUGGUAACAGGAAACAGCUUGCUGUUUCGCUGACGAGUGGCGGACGGGUAAGUAAUGUCUGGGAAACUGCCUGAUGGAGGGGGAUAACUACUGGAAACGGUAGCUAAUACCGCAUAACGUCGCAAGACCAAAGAGGGGGACCUUCGGGCCUCUUGCCAUCAGAUGUGCCCAGAUGGGAUUAGCUAGUAGGUGGGGUAACGGCUCACCUAGGCGACGAUCCCUAGCUGGUCUGAGAGGAUGACCAGCCACACUGGAACUGAGACACGGUCCAGACUCCUACGGGAGGCAGCAGUGGGGAAUAUUGCACAAUGGGCGCAAGCCUGAUGCAGCCAUGCCGCGUGUAUGAAGAAGGCCUUCGGGUUGUAAAGUACUUUCAGCGGGGAGGAAGGGAGUAAAGUUAAUACCUUUGCUCAUUGACGUUACCCGCAGAAGAAGCACCGGCUAACUCCGUG